UCAGUUCAAAGAGGGAGAGAGGAAAGAGCAGACAGUGAGGAGAAAGUACAAGGUCAGGAAGAACCAGGAGGCGAAGAACAGGGAGAGACUCUGAGAAAGCAGACCAGGGAACAAGAUGAGGAGAGGCAGAAAGAACCAACCAGGGAAAGAGAUGAGGAGAGACAGACAGGGCAGAGUUCCAGUCAGCAGUCCAAAGAUGUUCAAGAUAUGGCUCUUGAUUUGGGGGAUAAGACUACUGGUCCUAAACAGAGGUGCCCAAUACAUCGAUCGCGAUCUACUGGUCGAUCGCAAAGACUGAGUAGAUCGCAUGACAUAAAAAAUAGAGGAAGGGUGACGCGAUCAACCGCGCCAGCUGCUGCAAAACUCCAGUAAGCAACCGAGUCGCCUCCAAUUUAUUUCUACUAAACUUAAGAGAGGGUAUAAAACUGAAUGGGGGAGCAGGACCAAGUA